rnacentral:RNase_P_RNA from 1 species
GCACGGGCGCGGGCAACCGCCGCGGGGGUUUCCCCGGGGAGGAAAGUCCGGGCUCCACAGGGCAGGAUGCUGGAUAACAUCCAGGCGGGGCGACCCGACGGAAAGUGCCACAGAGAAUAGACCGCCUACCGGAGAGAUCCGGCGGGUAAGGGUGAAACGGUGAGGUAAGAGCUCACCAGCGGCCCGGGCAACCGGGCCGGCUUGGUAAACCCCAUCCGGAGCAAGGCCAAAUAGGGGGACGUUUGAGGACUGCCCGUCCAAAGUUCCCGGGUAGGCUGCUUGAGGCCGGCGGUGACGCCGGACCCAGAGGAAUGGUUGCCGCCCCGAAAGGGGUACAGGACCCGGCUUACAGCGCCCGUGCACCU